rnacentral:rRNA from 1 species
GACGAACGCUGGCGGCGUGCUUAACACAUGCAAGUCGAACGCUGAAGCUUGGUGCUUGCACUGGGUGGAUGAGUGGCGAACGGGUGAGUAAUACGUGAGUAACCUGCCCUUGACUCUGGGAUAAGCCUGGGAAACUGGGUCUAAUACUGGAUAUGACAUGCAACUGCAUGGUGGUGUUUGGAAAGGGUUUUACUGGUUUUGGAUGGGCUCACGGCCUAUCAGCUUGUUGGUGGGGUAAUGGCCUACCAAGGCGACGACGGGUAGCCGGCCUGAGAGGGUGACCGGCCACACUGGGACUGAGACACGGCCCAGACUCCUACGGGAGGCAGCAGUGGGGAAUAUUGCACAAUGGGCGGAAGCCUGAUGCAGCGACGCCGCGUGAGGGAUGACGGCCUUCGGGUUGUAAACCUCUUUCAGCACGGAAGAAGCGAGAGUGACGGUACGUGCAGAAGAAGCGCCGGCUAACUACGUG